GACGAACGCUGGCGGCGUGCUUAACACAUGCAAGUCGAACGGAAAGGCCCUGCUUUUGUGGGGUGCUCGAGUGGCGAACGGGUGAGUAACACGUGAGUAACCUGCCCUUGACUUUGGGAUAACUUCAGGAAACUGGGGCUAAUACCGGAUAGGAGCUCCUGCUGCAUGGUGGGGGUUGGAAAGUUUCGGCGGUUGGGGAUGGACUCGCGGCUUAUCAGCUUGUUGGUGGGGUAGUGGCUUACCAAGGCUUUGACGGGUAGCCGGCCUGAGAGGGUGACCGGCCACAUUGGGAUUGGGAUACGGCCCAGACUCCUCCGGGAGGAAGAAGUGGGGAAUAUUGCACAAGGGGCGGAAGCCUGAUGCAGCAACGCCGCGUGCGGGAUGACGGCCUUCGGGUUGUAAACCGCUUUCGCCUGUGACGAAGCGUGAGUGACGGUAAUGGGUAAAGAAGCACCGGCUACCUACGU
rnacentral:rRNA from 1 species